rnacentral:rRNA from 1 species
UGGGGAAUAUUGCACAAUGGCGGGAACUCUGAUGCAGCGACGCCGUGUGAACGAAGAAGGCUUUCGAGUCGUACAGUUCUUUUAUAUGGGAAGAUAAUGACGGUACCAUAAGAAAAAGCCCCGGCUAACUACGUGCCAGCAGCCGCGGUAAUACGGAGGGGGCUAGCGUUGUCCGGAAUCACUGGGCGUAAAGGGUUCGCAGGCGGAAAUGCAAGUCAGGUGUAAAAGGCAGUAGCUUAACUACUGUAAGCAUUUGAAACUGCAUAUCUUGAGAAGAGUAGAGGUAAGUGGAAUUUUUAGUGUAGCGGUGAAAUGCGUAGAUAAUAAAAAGAAUACCGGUGGCGAAGGCGACUUACUGGGCUCAUUCUGUCGCUGAGGAACGAAAGCGUGGGUAUCAAACAGG